UGCCUUAGUAACGGCGAGUGAAGCGGCAACAGCUCAAAUUUGAAAUCUGGCCCUAGUGGUCCGAAUUGUAAUUUGUAGAGGAUGCUUUUGGUGCGGUGCCUUCCGAGUUCCCUGGAACGGGACGCCGGAGAGGGUGAGAGCCCCGUACGGUUGGACACCUAGCCUCUGUAUAGCUCCUUCAACGAGUCGAGUAGUUUGGGAAUGCUGCUCUAAAUGGGAGGUAAAUUUCUUCUAAAGCUAAAUACCGGCCAGAGACCGAUAGCGCACAAGUAGAGUGAUCGAAAGAUGAAAAGCACUUUGAAAAGAGGGUUAAAUAGCACGUGAAAUUGUUGAAAGGGAAGCGUUUGCGACCAGACCUUUUCCGGGCGGAUCAUCCGGCGUUCUCGCCGGUGCACUUCGUCCGGUCUAGGCCAGCAUCGGUUUCCUUA
rnacentral:rRNA from 1 species